UACGGAGGGUGCAAGCGUUGUUCGGAAUUAUUGGGCGUAAAGCGCGUGUAGGCGGUCUGGUAAGUCAGAUGUGAAAGCCCUUGGCUUAACCAAGGAAGUGCAUUUGAAACUGCCUGACUUGAGUACGGGAGAGGAAAGUGGAAUUCCCAGUGUAGAGGUGAAAUUCGUAGAUAUUGGGAGGAACACCGGUGGCGAAGGCGACUUUCUGGACUAGUACUGACGCUGAGACGCGAAAGCGUGGGGAGCAAACAGG
rnacentral:rRNA from 1 species